GGAAGCGUGGCAGAGGGGUUGAUUGCGCCGUGUCUUGCCCUUUUUGCAAGCGCGGAGAUGGCUUGCCGGGAUUCGUCAUUCCGGCUCUCAUUCGCAGGUUCGAAUCCUGCCGCUUCCU
rnacentral:tRNA from 1 species